CACAUCAAUGUUCAAACAAAUAUUUUUGUUUCAAUUGCAGACAUCGGGGUUAGCCAAGAGGUAAGCUUCAACAGCCUUGUAAACUCCAUCCAUUCUUUGAAUUUGUUCCUUAAUUUCAUCUUCAGUGAAGGUGGAAUCACCAAUGGUGAAGAACUUCAUUGAGCUCUUG